rnacentral:tRNA from 1 species
GGGCGGGUAACUCAGCGGUGAGAGUGCCAUCCUCACACGGUGGAAGUCGAGAGUUCGAAUCUCUCUCCGCCCACCA